GUUGUUUACGGGACACUUUAUUGGAAGGGAAGCUAGGCAGAGGGUAGAUCGGCGGGAAGCGGAGCAGGGCGGGGAAACUCACACACAUAGGCAAUUUUGACGUUGGAACAACAGAAAAUACUUGCCAGGUUUUGAUUAUUUUUACAAGUCACGUAUUGACUCUCGGGAAGCGUUUGGCCAGGCUUUGUUGUUUUAGUUUCUUUUCGUCACUGUGUGUAUAUGUGUGUUGUUUAUGCUACUCUAAAGUUUAUAUAUAGACUUCUGUUAGCAUGUUGAAGGGCUUUCUUGUAGUAGCAGUAGAAGUAGUAGUAGUAGUAGUAGUAGUAGUAGUAGUAGUAGUAGUAGUAGUAGUAUAGUAGUAGUAGUAGUAGUAGUAGUAGUAGUAGUAGUAGUAGUAGUAGUAGUAGUAGUAGUAGAAGCUGCAAGAGGCCAUUAAGCCUACUUGUGGCAGCCCCUGUAUAAAACCUAACCACCAACAUAUCUACACAUCUAUCAUCUCUAUCCAGAAAUAUGUUUCAUCUUUUAAGCUCACCAAAACAUUCUAAGUUCAAGUCUUCUUUCUUAAGUUCUCAAUAGUCUUUUAUUUGUUCAGUCAGUCAUAUAAUAUUUAACUAAGAGACCAGCUCUGUCAUUUAACAGAAAUAAUUUAUCAAAAAUAGUGUUUCCUUAAAUUAACAUACUGUUGUCGUCACUGUGUGUGUGUGUGUGUGUGUGUGUGUGUGUGUGUGUGUGUGU